UCAUACUUGGCUUUCAGGUUGGUCUUAAAGGUGAGAUUUGUAAAGGAAAUUCGAUACGAAAAGUUUUGAUUCGAGAAGCAGUGAACUAUGCUGCUGUUGCUUUAGUUGUGGGUAUAGACAAGCUUGGUGCUUUUGGAUAUUGUUUUCAGGGGUUGGACUUCCACGGCUAGAUAUUGCGCGAAGCGGUUGCCCACGACAACCGAUGUUCUGGCCAUCAACAAUGGAAGACUUGUUUUCGAAAGAUCCAACAAUAGUGAAUUACCAGGUCUUAAAGGUGAUCCAAGACCAAGUCUUUGCUUGUCCGACAACCUUGGUGUUAGAGAAUGUCAAUCGGAAUAUGGUGACUCUGAAGUAGGGUCUGAGAUAUCCAGUUCCGAACGGAUUCGAAGCUCCAAAGAUGGAUCAAGAGCCAGUAGUGAUGAUUCAAAGAUUGAGACAUUGAAUGCUGU